UACGUAGGGGGCAAGCGUUGUCCGGAAUUAUUGGGCGUAAAGAGCGUGUAGGCGGCUAGAUAAGUCUGUUGUGAAAUCUCGAGGCUCAACUUCGAGCUGUCGGUGGAAACUAUCUGGCUAGAGUCCGGAAGAGGAGAAUGGAAUUCCUGGUGUAGCGGUGAAAUGCGCAGAUAUCAGGAAGAACACCCGUGGCGAAGGCGGUUCUCUGGGACGGUACUGACGCUGAGACGCGAAAGCGUGGGGAGCGAACAGG
rnacentral:rRNA from 1 species